UACGUAGGGGGCGAGCGUUGUCCGGAGUUACUGGGCGUAAAGCGCUUGUAGGCGGUCCACCAAGUUUGGGGUGACAGUUGCCGACUUAAUCGGCAAAGUGCCUCAAAGACUGGCGGACUUGAGGGCCACAGAGGGACAUGGAACUCCAGGUGUAGUGGUGAAAUGUGUUGAUAUCGGAAGGAACGCCGGUGGCGAAAGCGACACACUGGGUCUCAACUGACGCUGAGGCACGAAAGCCAGGGGAGCGAACGGG
rnacentral:rRNA from 1 species